GUUUUAAUAGUUUAAAAAAAACACCGGUCUUGUAAACCGGAAAUAAGGCAAGCCCCCACUUUUAAAACU
rnacentral:tRNA from 2 species